rnacentral:rRNA from 1 species
GCUCUGUUGUUAGGGAAGAACAAGUGCAAGAGUAACUGCUUGCACCUUGACGGUACCUAACCAGAAAGCCACGGCUAACUACGUGCCAGCAGCCGCGGUAAUACGUAGGUGGCAAGCGUUGUCCGGAAUUAUUGGGCGUAAAGGGCUCGCAGGCGGUUUCUUAAGUCUGAUGUGAAAGCCCCCGGCUCAACCGGGGAGGGUCAUUGGAAACUGGGAAACUUGAGUGCAGAAGAGGAGAGUGGAAUUCCACGUGUAGCGGUGAAAUGCGUAGAGAUGUGGAGGAACACCAGUGGCGAAGGCGACUCUCUGGUCUGUAACUGACGCUGAGGAGCGAAAGCGUGGGGAGCGAACAGGAUUAGAUACCCUGGUAGUCCACGCCGUAAACGAUGAGUGCUAAGUGUUAGGGGGUUUCCGCCCCUUAGUGCUGCAGCUAACGCAUUAAGCACUCCGCCUGGGGAGUACGGUCGCAAGACUGAAACUCAAAGGAAUUGACGGGGGCCCGCACAAGCGGUGGAGCAUGUGGUUUAAUUCGAAGC